GAUGAAGAACGCAGCGAAAUGCGAUAAGUAAUGUGAAUUGCAGAAUUCAGUGAAUCAUCGAAUCUUUGAACGCACAUUGCGCCCGCCAGUAUUCUGGCGGGCAUGCCUGUCCGAGCGUCAUUUCAACCCUCGAACCCCUCCGGGGGGUCGGCGUUGGGGAUCGGCCCUGCCUCUGGCGGUGGCCGUCUCCGAAAUACAGUGGCGGGCUCGCCGCAGCCUCUCCUGCGCAGUAGUUUGCACACUCGCAUCGGGAGCGCGGCGCGUCCACAGCCGUUAAACACCCAACUUCUGAAAUGUUGACCUCGGAUCAGGUAGGAAUACCCGCUGAACUUAAGCAUAUCAAUAAGCGGAGGA
rnacentral:misc_RNA from 1 species